UGAAAGAGAGAUGCAACGUCUCCUAAGAGGGGACGAUGCAGUGGACACACAGCUUACCGCCAGGCUCCAGCGUCUGAACCACAGAGAAGUUUGGAGAUCGCCACAGGGAGUUCUGAAGAUUGAGGCUGAGUGGAAACAAGAGCCUGUGCCAAGGCACCAGAGGACAGAAAGGGAAUGGAGAAUGAAUCCACUCAUCAACCUGUGACAUCACAAGAUCUACACGACCGGAGCAACAAACAAACAAGUUGGAUGCUUGAAUAGAAUCUCCAGAUUCAUGGCAGCGAGGCAGAAUAAAGGUAUUGACGAGGGAAAGGUAUUACAUGGCCAUCCUCUGGCUGUUUCCCCCUUUCCACAUGCCAGGGGUUUAUACCAAGCAUCUGUAAUUUUCAUGGGUCGGCAGACUUCCAGAGAGUCCACUGCUGAAGAUGCCACCAUAAGUGUACACUUACAAGAAGCCGAGCAUCAUUCGCCCCAAUCAUCGCUCACGUGCCUCGGAAUACCGGCAAAGUGGCCUUUUGAAGGACUCCAAAGUUUCCAGAGAGGUUGUUGCCGACAGCGGAGCGCAUUUAUCAGAUGA
rnacentral:lncRNA from 13 species